AAAAAAUAUGUUUUGUUUUAGAGACUCGCUCCAGGAUAUCCCCAGUACUUGCCAAAGGAAAACGGGAGGCCCCGUCCCUGUAACCGAGGCUCAACUGAAAGCCAUAUUCAAGCAAUGUGACACUAACAGAGAUGGUCGUCUCAGCAAACAAGAGCUGAAGAAAUUUUUCGCUAGCUUACGCUCUCAUCUUCCUGGUUGGCGAGCCGGCCGAGUGCUUCGUCAUGCCGAUGGCAACGAAGAUGGAUAUGUAAGCGAGGACGAGUUGGAUGGUCUCAUUAAAUACGCCUUGAGAUGUGGUUAUACUCGUGUCGUUAAGUAACAUGGAAGAAUCCCCUAGGUUUUCUCAUCAUCUACAAGGAAUUCUACCCUCUUUUUGUUUUCUUAAGAUCUUUCACUUUUGCUUGCUUUAAGAUCUUGUUUUAUAUGUGUAGCUGCAAUAUGCAGAGAUGAAAAUAGAAGAGUAGGCUCUUAUGCACGUGUUUUGCUGUAUAUAUAAUUAAGUCAAUGUAGUAGUUUCAUGUAUAUAUAAUCUCUAGCUAAUUACUUUUGUAU